UUACCACGCUGGAGCUAUGUCAGGUUGUACGAGGGCAGUUAAUGAAUAUACUUGCGACCCUUUUACUCUCAGACUCUCCUCCUUUUCUCGCUGCUGAACCCCUGCCAUCAUCAUGUCCACUCCGCGCCCGCCCCGUGCUCGACGUGCACAUCCUGAGCCCCGCGCCCCCUUGGCUCUCUCCUCUCCCUCCUUGUCGCCAACCCUAAACAUUUUCCCUCUCCACCCUACAGCCGCCUCCCCUAGCUCCUCGUCCCCUUCACUC